rnacentral:rRNA from 1 species
GAUCUACACUCUUUCCCUACACGACGCUCUUCCGAUCUUACCGAAUUCAGACAAACUCCGAAUGCCAAAUAAUUUAACUUGGGAGUCAGACUAUGGGUGAUAAGGUCCGUAGUCGAAAGGGAAACAGCCCAGACCACCAGCUAAGGUCCCAAAAUAUAUGUUAAGUGGAAAAGGAUGUGGCGUUGCCCAGACAACUAGGAUGUUGGCUUAGAAGCAGCCAUCAUUUAAAGAGUGCGUAAUAGCUCACUAGUCGAGUGACACUGCGCCGAAAAUGUACCGGGGCUAAACAUAUUACCGAAGCUGUGGAUUAUCCGUAAGGAUAAUGGUAGGAGAGCGUUCUAAACGUGUUGAAGCAUGAUCGUAAGGACAUGUGGAAUGUUUAGAAGUGAGAAUGCCGGUGUGAGUAGCGAAAGAUGGGUGAGAAUCCCAUCCACCGAUUGACUAAGGUUUCCAGAGGAAGGCUCGUCCGCUCUGGGUUAGUCGGGACCUAAGCCGAGGCCGAUAGGCGUAGGCGAUGGAUAACAGGUAGAUAUUCCUGUACCACCUAUGAUUGUUUGAACGAUGGGGGGACGCAGUAGGAUAGGCGAAGCGUGCUGUUGGAGUGCACGUCCAAGCAAUAAGACUGAGUGUUAGGCAAAUCCGGCACUCGUAAGGUUGAGUUGUGAUGGGGAGUUGGAUCAUGUAUCCGACGAGUCGUUGAUUUCACACUGCCAAGAAAAGCCUCUAGUUAGAAAAUAGGUGCCCGUACCGCAAACCGACACAGGUAGUCAAGAUGAGAAUUCUAAGGUGAGCGAGCGAACUCUCGUUAAGGAACUCGGCAAAAUGACCCCGUAACUUCGGGAGAAGGGGUGCUUUUUAGGGUGCAAGCCUUGAAGAGCCGCAGUGAAUAGGCCCAAGCGACUGUUUAUCAAAAACACAGGUCUCUGCUAAACCGUAAGGUGAUGUAUAGGGGCUGACGCCUGCCCGGUGCUGGAAGGUUAAGAGGAGUGGUUAGCUUCUGCGAAGCUACGAAUCGAAGCCCCAGUAAACGGCGGCCGUAACUAUAACGGUCCUAAGGUAGCGAAAUUCCUUGUCGGGUAAGUUCCGACCCGCACGAAAGGCGUAACGAUUUGGGCACUGUCUCAACGAGAGACUCGGUGAAAUCAUAGUACCUGUGAAGAUGCAGGUUACCCGCGACAGGACGGAAAGACCCCGUGGAGCUUUACUGUAGCCUGAUAUUGAAAUUUGGCACAGCUUGUACAGGAUAGGUAGGAGCCUUUGAAACGUGAGCGCUAGCUUACGUGGAGGCGCUGGUGGGAUACUACCCUGGCUGUGUUGACUUUCUAACCCGCACCAUUUGAUCAUGGUGGGAGACAGUGUCAGGCGGGCAGUUUGACUGGGGCGGUCGCCUCCUAAAGAGUAACGGAGGCGCUCAAAGGUUCCCUCAGAAUGGUUGGAAAUCAUUCGCAGAGUGUAAAGGCACAAGGGAGCUUGACUGCGAGACCUACAAGUCGAGCAGGUGCGAAAGCAGGUCUUA